rnacentral:rRNA from 1 species
GGGGAAUAUUGGACAAUGGGCGAAAGCCUGAUCCAGCCAUGCCGCGUGUGUGAAGAAGGUCUUCGGAUUGUAAAGCACUUUAAGUUGGGAGGAAGGGCUGUUACCUAAUACGUGACAGUUUUGACGUUACCAACAGAAUAAGCACCGGCUAACUUCGUGCCAGCAGCCGCGGUAAUACGAAGGGUGCAAGCGUUAAUCGGAAUUACUGGGCGUAAAGCGCGCGUAGGCGGUUUGAUAAGGUGGAUGUGAAAGCCCCGGGCUCAACCUGGGAAUUGCAUCCAAAACUGUCUGACUAGAGUACGGUAGAGGGUGGUGGAAUUUCCUGUGUAGCGGUGAAAUGCGUAGAUAUAGGAAGGAACAUCAGUGGCGAAGGCGACCACCUGGACUGAUACUGACGCUGAGGUGCGAAAGCGUGGGGAGCAAAC